UGCCGCGUGUGUGAAGAAGGCCUUCGGGUUGUAAAGCACUUUCAGCGAGGAGGAAAGGUUGGUAGUUAAUAGCUGCCAGCUGUGACGUUACUCGCAGAAGAAGCACCGGCUAACUUCGUGCCAGCAGCCGCGGUAAUACGAGGGGUGCAAGCGUUAAUCGGAAUUACUGGGCGUAAAGCGUACGCAGGCGGUUUGUUAAGCCAGAUGUGAAAGCCCCGGGCUCAACCUGGGAAUUGCAUUUGGAACUGGCGAACUAGAGUCUUGUAGAGGGGGGUAGAAUUUCAGGUGUAGCGGUGAAAUGCGUAGAGAUCUGAAGGAAUACCGGUGGCGAAGGCGGCCCCCUGGACAAAGACUGACGCUCAUGUACGAAAGCGUGGGGAGCAAACAGGAUUAGAUACCCUGGUAGA
rnacentral:rRNA from 1 species